ensembl:lncRNA
CAGCAUGUUCCUUGGAGACUCUUAUCUGAUUCUUUGAGUCGAUGGGAAUCCCAUUGAGUCUCGGCGGGAGUGAACCGAACACAAAUCUCAGCUGAUGUUUGGGGUUUAAAUCAGUCUGCUAAACGUGAGCUUGCCUUGCUGUGGCCUUUUGCGCAAUGCAACUGCUCUUAUUUUAGCUGAUCUAAAUGUAGCGAUGAUGGACGACGGUCAAACAAAUGACCCUCGGGACGAGUCUAGAACGGGGGGAAACCCCUUCAUAAGACGUCAAACGAGUGGCGAGGAGGACAGAGGGUCUGUGGAGUGGCAGCUGGGAAACGGGCCGGUCCGAUGUUCUCUGCUCAUCCUGUGGGAGUCCAAUGAAGAGCAGAGCAAAGAUGCCAGCUUUGGUUCUCCCAGUACACAAACCAGCCUGAGAGAAUGCCAUUCAUCAGUUUUCCAGACCUGGAGCUUCAGUAUUCGGGAAGUUCAGCAUGAGACAUUUAAAGGCUCAAGGGAAAACAGCAGACAGAAAUCCGGAGUCUCAGAGAUCGUGUAGAAGACAGCUGAGCUUGAGAUUAUGGAAAAGUGUCUGUCAUGUCCAUGUGUGAAGUACAUCAUGUGUCUGUCUAACAGUAUUCUACUAGUGCACACCGACCAUCCCACGACACAUUUACAGGUACAGUUUCUUCUAGCUGAUUUCAUCUCUAUUUCUCAUCUACUGCAGGAGUAAUGUAUGUCUGGUGGUGUGGAUUAAUGCGUGUUUUCAGCUGCUUUCUCAAGGAUCUCAGACCCGGCUGUGGUGUUUGUAUCCACCUGAACAGCAUUACUCUCCUCAAGCCCUUUCUCAUCAACAUCUGCAGCUCGUCUCUGAUGCCGUUCCACGACAGCGUCUGUCAAAGCGAGCAGCUCUGUUUCAUACGUGACAUGUUGCAGUGGAUCUUUUUCCCUGACAUUUCAUCACACAGCUAGGAUUCUCCAUCACUGUUGAACAUCUAUGAAUCUUCAAGCAAACACUCCAUCUGCAUCCAGAAGCCUCUGGAGCACAAAUCAUCUCUGGCUGAAUCUCGUCUACCUGACGAACACUCUGCGUCUCCAGAUCAACGCGCUGGAAUGUUCCACCUGUUUAUCCUGUGUUCUCUUACUAUAAACCACUCCCGACGAAUGGUUUUCUUCUCUGGACAACAAAGCUAAAUAUUGUACACUGUGUAUAUGUGUUUAGAUGACUGUCAAGCUCUUUAUGAUCAGUGGAAACAGGCAGCUUUUUAUAAGCAAAACUUCUUUCACCUCGUGCUCCUACAUUUUAUUUGUGACAUACACAGAUGUCCUAUAGAAAUACACAACCUGAGUCUCAUGGAAAAGGCUGCACCUUAUGUUUGCUUCACUUAGUGCUGAAGCCACGUGUGAAAUCUCUCUGACGGUCAGUGACGCGAGAGCUUUAACCCUUCGGGCCACUGAAAGAGGAGGAUAUGCUGGGUUUUUAUCCAGUCUCAUGUCAACAAUUAAGAAAGAGAGGAAUGUGAGAUAUGCAAACAAAAACAGAGAUGGAGAAAGCAGAAGAUUUCUAACUGGUGUUGGGUCAUUGCUAUGAGCCUCCUGACGCCAAAGAGCUAAAAACAAAACCACUCUUUCAGCUCAGAGGCUGCAAGACCUGCUGAUGGAAACCACACAAUACAAAAAUAAAAUAAAAUCACCAAUGGAUGCUCUGCAGUGAAUGGGUGCCGCCAGAAUGAGAGUCCAAAAAAGCUGAAAAAAAAACAAAUCACAAUAAUCCACACCACUCCAAUCCAUCCGUUAACGUCUUGUGAAGCCAAAAACUGCAUGUUUGUAAUUAAAAAAAAUCCAUCAUUAAGAUGUUUUUAACUAAAAAUAUGAGUCCAUAAUCCAUAAUAAUGUUUUCCUCUGGUGAAAACGUUUAUCUCCUGUUGUUUCUCACAUUUAAAUCCACCCACACAUUUGUUUAGAGCUGUUUUGACUUGUAAACGGUGCUUACAUAUUUCUCUCCUGAUUCAGACCAGACCGCUUUUUUACUGGAAGAUGCAUGGGUUAUGGAUUCGUAUUUUGGCUAAAAUUGUCUUAAUGAUGGAUUUGUUUCUUACAAACACACAAGACAUUAACUGAUGGACUGGAGUGGUGUGGAUUAUUGUGAUGUUUUUAUCAGCUGUUUGGACUCUCAUUCUGACGGCACCCAUUCACUGCAGAGCAUCUAUUGGUGAGCAAGUGAUGCAAUGCUACAUUUAUCCAAAUUUGGUGAAGAAACAAACUCAUCUACAUCUUGGACGGCCUGAGGGUGAGCAUAUUUUCAGCAGAUUUUCAUUUCUGGGUGAACUGUUUCUUUAAAAUUAAGUAAGGUAUUAAGUAAGGUUGAUGUGAUGCUAUUACCAUUAAUCAGUUCUCGUUCUAGCCAUAGGCAUGUAAACAACACAAUUUUGUAGCCAAGUAGCCUAAUUGCUGCUGUGAUUGCUCUAAUAUUUACGAUAAGCGUGACGAUAAGAGCGUUCACAUGAUUUCUGUCAUCAGGUUCACAUCAGUGCUGUCAGUACAGACACAUGCCAACAGCAACUGCAGCUCGAGGAGGAGCGGCCCGUUCACAGAGACUCCAUAGGAUUCACAUGCUAGGCUUCAUUAUGCACGACUGCUUGUUUUGAUUUAGAAAAUGAGACUCUGAAUAACCGGUAGGAAAUGAAGCGGGGCUCAGCCAGCGCUCAGGCCAUCAUUGUCUGAGAUGAUCAGCGUAAUCAGAAUUCAACACGAUUAGCUUUCAUGUUUAUGUACUCAGCGCUCGGCCUGUCCGAUCGAUUCCACAAGUGUUUUAUUGCAUUAAAUGUCAAAGAUAACAAGCUGUCAUCAUAGAUUUUGUUUUAUCAAGCUCUGGCUUAAUAGCUUUAUGAAAGAGAGUCAGAUUUGAGCUGUAAUAUAGUGAUAUUUUGAAAGUCUGUGGAAGGCAUCCCAAAAAUGCAGUGACUUUAAGACCUAUUGACGUUUGAGAUCGUUUGGAAAGUUUGCUGUGAUAUCAUCAGAUAAGUGCUGGUUCCCAUGUGAUAAGAGCUACCAAAGCGUUUAGUGGGAAAUGACCACAGAGUGCUGUACUGAAUUAUUUUCUUCUCCAAAGACAGCAGCCGUUUUCCAGGAUCAGCCAGGAAACACAAUGAAAUCGAUCGACUUGCACAAAAUGCC